UACAGAGGUCUCGAGCGUUAGGCGGAAUCACUGGGCUUAAAGCGUGUGUAGGCGGAUCGUUAAGUACCUUGUGAAAUCCCACGGCUUAACCGUGGAACUGCUUGGUAUACUGGCGGUCUUGAGCCAGCUAGGGGCUACCGGAACAAAUGGUGGAGCGGUGAAAUGCGUAGAUAUCAUUUGGAACGCCAGUGGUGAAAACAGGUUGCUGGGGCUGUGCUGACGCUGAGACACGAAAGCCAGGGGAGCGAACGGG
rnacentral:rRNA from 1 species